CAAGACCCUGUUUGCAUCAUUUCACGCUAUUUCUUUCUCCCUCUCUUCCCCUUCUUCUUCCUCUCUUCCCUUUCUCUCUCUUUCUCUCCCAAAUCCCUAACCAUUGACGAUGAAACCCGAACACUUACCUUCGUUGAACUUCGAUCUCUCCCGAGUUCAGAUCCCGAAGUCGGAGAAUCGAAUCUACAAGCACGAAUGCUGCGUUUCUUUUGACUCUCCGGUGUGAACAAUGAAGUCGAGUAUGAGGAAACUUAUAAAGUAGUUAUAUUACCUGACUAUGUGUCUCUUCUGUUCCCUUCUGUGGAAUUGCCAGACAAGGUAAAUGCGGCAGUUGAUGCAAUCUUACAGGCUGAAAGUGCUGAGGGGAAGGACCAAGUUGGAGCUUGGAUUGCGGAUUACACUCAAAUGACGGUUCCUGAAAAAGAAAAUGCAAUUUUUUACUUGAAUCGAAUGCAAGGAAGUGAACAACCAUUACCUUCAGUUUCUGGACCCGGAUACACGGGAUUGUUCAACAUUGGUAACAGUUGUUAUAUGGCAACAACCUUGCAAUUACUGUUUUCAACAAGGGGCCCUUCAUAAAACGGUACCUCGAAGACCAAAGUCGAAAGGAGGCGUUUGAGGUGUCUCCCGCUGAUCCAACUGUUGACCUGAAUAUGCAGUUGACUAAAUUGGCGUAUGGUUUACUUUCUCCGGAAUGCCCAGCUGAGAAACAAGGGAUACACCCACAUAUGUUCAAAGGUGUAAUUGCUGCAAGCGAUCCUAAAUUUUCAUCUGUGCAGCAACAGGAUACCCUUGAAUUUUUUCUACAUUUUAUUGAUCGAGUUAAGCGAGCUAAUGCUGGGAAAACUAAACUGGAAGAUCCAGCAAGCAGUUUCAAGUUUGGCAUUGAAGAUAUAUUUGAGUGUGACGGUAUGUUUACACGUAAAAGAAGGCAUGCAUACGUUCUUUCUCUCAAUAUCCCUUUGGCUAAAGCAACCAACAAAUGUGAGUUCUUAAGUCAACAACCUUAACUUUGAACUGAGAUGUCUUUUGGAUCUUAAACAUAUUUGUGUUGUUUGAUAAAUCUGAGAAGAAUUGACAUCCUUUGAAAAAUUGAAAGCAGAUAACCUUGCAAACAAAGACAAAAAGUACGUUCAGAUGCUCAGAAAUCUUACUAUUUCCUUCAUAUGCUUUUUAAGACUCUGCUUAGCAUAUUUGUUCUGACAGAGGUGUCGAUGAGAUUGAGCGUCCAAGGCUAAAGGUGCCUUUAAAAGCUUGCCUUGCGAACUUCCUUGCUCCUGAGGAGGUGCAUGAUAUUUACAAUCCUGAUUUGAAAACAAAGAUGACAGCAAGGAAGUAAGCAUUCUGAAGUUUCUAAAUACCAUGCUUGUUGCUUCAUAUUAGGAAGAACUUACAUAGCUAUAUAAUGAGGUUUCUUUAAAAAAUUUGAGAAAUUUCAUAUAUUAGUGUUAUGGCCAUGGUUAGUGGAUGACAAUUACAUUUGAUCAUAGGGAGUUAGUUAUAGGGUUGACAACUUUUGAUGUGGUCCACAUUACACUAUUAAUAGCAUAUAAUAAUUUUUAAUUGACGAUCUUGAAUCAAUGGCUACUAAGGCGAUGUACCACUUACUUUGCCAAGCUAGUAUAGUUAUAAACUCGUAUUCUCAUUAUUAGAGCAUUCAAAAAUUAUUUUGAUGCUGAAACAUCGAUUAUUCUGCAGGACUUCACGUCUGACUUCAUAUCCUAAAUACCUGAUGUUAUAUAUACGAAGAUUUUUUACGGAAGUAGCAUAUGAUCCCAAAAAGCUAGGUACGCUUUGUCUUAAUGUGCCUAUUUACAUGGAAAAGUACUAUUUUAAUCUAUGUAAACUGCUAAGCAUUUGUCUUCUUUCAGAUAUACAUAUUGAUGUUCCUGAUAUCAUAAAUAUUGAUGCUCUCCGCAAAUGACUGAUAUUUAUGAUAUCAGGAACAUCAAUAUGUAUAUCUGAAAGAAGACAAAUGCUUAGCAGUUUACAUAGAUUAAAAUAGUACUUUUCCAUGUAAAUAGGCACAUUAAGACAAAGCGUACCUAGCUUUUUGGGAUCAUAUGCUACUUCCGUAAAAAAUCUUCACAUAUGUAACAUCAGGUAUUUAGGAUAUGAAGUCAGACGUGAAGUCCUGCAGAAUAAUUGGUGUUUCAGCAUCAAAAUGAUUUUUGAAUGCUCUAAUAAUGAGAAUACGAGUUUAUAACUAUACUAGCUUGACAAAGUAAGUAGUCCACCGCCUUAGUAGCCAUUGAUUCAUGAUCGUCAAUUAAAAAUUAUUAUAUGCUAUUAAUAGAGUAAUGUGGACCACAUCAAAAGUUGUCAACCAUAUAACUAACUCCCUAUGAUCAAAUGUAAUUGUCAUCCACUAACCAUGGACAUAACACUAAUAUAUGAAAUUUCUCAAAUUUUUUAAAGAAACCUCAUUAUAUAGCUAUGUAAGUUCUUCCUAAUAUGAAGCAACAAGCAUGGUAUUUAGAAACUUCAGAAUGCUUACUUCCUUGCUGUCAUCUUUGUUUUCAAAUCAGGAUUGUAAAUAUCAUGCACCUCCUCAGGAGCAAGGAAGUUCGCAAGGCAAGCUUUUAAAGGCACCCUUAGCCUUGGACGCUCAAUCUCAUCGACACCUCUGUCAGAACAAAUAUGCUAAGCAGAGUCUUAAAAAGCAUAUGAAGGAAAUAGUAAGAUUUCUGAGCAUCUGAACGUACUUUUUGUCUUUGUUCGCAAGGUUAUUUGCUUUCAAUUUUUCAAAGGAUGUCAAUUCUUAUCAGAUUUAUCAAACAACACAAAUAUGUUGAAGAUCCAAAAGACUUCUCAGUUAAGGCUGUUGACUUAAGAACUCACCUUUGUUGAUUGCUUUAGGCAAAGGGCUAUUGAGAAAGAACGUAUGCAUGCCUUCUUUUACGUGUAAACAUACCGUCACACUCAAAUAUAUCUUCCAGUUUAGUUUUCCCAUUAUUAGCUCGCUUAACUCGAUCAAGAAAAUGUAGAAAAAAUUCAAGAGCAUCCUAAUAUCAAGUUGGAAUGAAGUAGGAUAGCAAAGUAAGAUCACUUUAAAUAGAACAAUAUACGCACCAAAAACUUUUGAAGAAUAAAAAACCUUAUGUUUAUUUAUUAAAAGCCAGAGUAAACAUAUCAAGGCCUAAAUUUUAUUUGAAAAAUAGAAGUAAAUCCAACUAAGCUGUUUUGAACUUUUAUGACAAAGAAGGUAAGGUGAAAAUUACGUGUAUGGUUGAGAUAUGUUAUUUGUUAUGUUUUAUAUCUUAAGAUAGUUCUAUAAGGAUCCUUAUCUUAUUGUUAUAGGUCUUUUAGUUUGACUAGGACGAGGAAACCUCAUCUAUAAAUACGGUUAUGCAUACAACUUUGUUCAGGUUUAAAUAAAAUAUGUAUAGAGUAAACAUUUUCAUGAGAAGAUAGAGUUAUGUGAAAAUAAAUCAUUAAUAGAAAAAUAAAUUUUAUAUUAUUAAUUUUAGUAUUUUUUCAUAAUUUU